GGUAAGGGGACAUAUCUACCAAGUGGGUCAAUGAAGUGACAGAUGCUAAAACUACAUUUUGAUUGUAGAUAAUAUGCACUUGAUGACUGAUUGUGUUAUUAACAUCUCAAAUCAAUUUGGUCAUGUCUUUCCUGAAAAUGGUUUUCAUAUUUUCCUCACUGUAUGCUGGCUUUUCCCUUGAUAAUGGUUAUCAAGUCCAUUCAGAAAAGAUGCCAAAGUCUUCUCAAUAAGCAUAGAAAGUGAGAGCUUCCUUCUUAAGGCUUCAUUAACAGCUUCCUAUUUAAAGGAAAAACAGUAUUGGCAUGUAAAUGAACUUUGCUCUGGCAGGUUUUGACUUCCAAGGUUCCUUGAGUACAGCCAAUCCAUCAAUGAGGAAGAGGCCCUCAGGAAGUCAGGCUGAAAGGUAGCACAGUGUUCCCUCCUGGGAGGGAACUAAAAAAAGAGGUAAAGUUUUUCCUUCUAAUUUAAUUAAAGUGAAAUCUUUUAUUAAACUAUCAUAGCUCCAUAAUAUUUUUAGAAGAGAAAUCUUGGCUAUGUUCAUGAAUCACUCUUGCACAGAGGAAAAUUAAAGAAGAUGAAAUUAAAUGAUAAUAGUUGAAUACUUAAUAGAAGUUAGCAGGCCAUGCAGUAGUUCUGAAAAAAUAAAUUUAAAUAAACUUUUCUUUUUUGGAGCAAUUUUAGAUUUAAAGAGAAUUGCAGAGAUAAUAGAAAGUUCUCAUAUACUGCGCGAUUGAUUUUUCCCAAUUAUUAUCAUCUCUCAUUAGCCAUUAAUAAACUGAGUCAAUAAAUAUGCUGUUAUUUCCUAAAGAUACUUUCCUUGCUUUUCCUGCAGUGUUCUCUUUUUGGUCACAGGAUCCCACCCAGGAUGCUACUUUACAUUUAGCCAUGCUGUCUCCUUGGAUCCUCUUGCUGGGGACAGUUUCUCAGGUUUUCCUUGCUUUGGAUGGCCUUGGCAGUUUUUGGGAAGUACCAGUAGGGGAUUUUGUAGAAUGUCCCUCAUUAGGGAUUUGUCUGAUAUUUUUCUUACGAUUAGUCGAGGAAAGGGGAUUUGGGGAGAAGGGCUCAGAGGCAAAGUGCCAUUUUCAUAAUACGUUGGCAUCUCUCUCUAUCUGAUGUAUCUUUGUUGCUAUUGACCUUGGUCUCCUGGCAGAGGUGAUGCUUGUCAGGUUUCUCUACUGCACGGUUUCUCUCUCUCUCCUGCACUCCUGGGAAGUAAGUCCCAAGCACUGCUGACCUGGGGGACUCAGGAUUAUGGUCACAUCCUGAGGGCAGUGUCUACAUAAAUGACUUUUUAUUCUUCUGCCCUGGAGAGUUGUCUUUUCUCUCUCUUUUAAUCAAUGUGGAUUCAAGGAUGUUUAUUUUAUUUAUACUUUGGAUUAAAGUCUAAUAUUUCUUUAUUUUAUUUUAUUUGCUCUCAUUGUUCCAGCUUAAGCCAUUGGGAGCUUUUUCAGCUGGCUACUGUCUUGUGACAUACCCCAUUAAUGCAGGUUUUUAUUUUUGUUUUGUUGCUUUGGGAUUCUUCCUUACUUGCUGCCAGUACAAAUGUUUCAGGCUCCUCUUGUGCAUGUUGUGCCCUCAUCCUAGAAUCAGCCAUUUCUCUAAGGAACCAUGCAUGGUUCCUUUUAUUGGAGAAUGAAACCAACAUCUGAGCACUAGAUGUGGUCUUGAAUUUUCUGUGAGCAACAUUUAUCCAUUGCCAAUAAAUUGAGUUAUGAAUUCAUGAUGUCAAGUUAUAAACGUUAAAGGCAGAUGAAAUGGUUACUUUGUGAGAUAGCAAUGGAAAACAGUUUUUUGAAUGCAAAGCAUUAAACAUUCUUCCUUCACUUUUAUUGCCAUGGAGACCAUUGUCAUGAUACUCUUUGUUCCAUGACCAUCAGUCAAAUGAUUUAGAAAGCAGAUGUUAUGUACCUUUACUUUUUAGCAUUUCUUUCUUCAGUUUAUACCUUAAUGGCUAAUACUGAAACAUAAUUAUCUCUCUAGAGAUUUAUAGAAGAUUAGAGACAUUCAGUUAGAAAAUGCUCAUUUUCAACAAAUAGACUCUGUUAAAGCAGACCUGACUUCUCUUCCACACCUCAGCCAUUUACUCCUGUAGUUUCCUUCUGGACCUUGUCAUGACCCACUUCCUCUUGGACCUUGUCAUGAACCAUAACUGCAUCAUGUCCCAGAUCAUGGAUUCAGAUGCCCAGCUCUAAGUGAGAACUCUUAUCUCUUUAGUCAUAUAAUUUCCACCACAGCAGUUUAUCUUUAUCUCAUUGGCCACACCACCCUUCACUGUCAUCACUCUUCUGAAGUUCCUAAUCCCCUUCUUCAUUUGUACAGUUCCUUCCACUACCAUUGCCUGGCAGGAUGUCAGCAUCGGUUGAGAACCAGCAUUUGCAUAAUAUGUAACUCAAGAACCUAAGGCCUUUGAAAAAUACACACACAUGUGCACAUACACAUACAUAGUUUUGAAGAUCAUAUAGUUGUAAUUAUAUUAACAUUAGAGUAUAAGAAAGAAAAGAAACUCACUUGAUUAAUAAGAUGCUUUUUAUAUGAAGAGGAAAAAUUCAUGUUUUUAAGCCACGGAUGAAAAAAUGCAUUGCUUUAAACAGUUGUCAUGAUGCCUCAUAUCUAAAUAUUUGAAUCUUCUGCUUGUUUCAUGUUUUCCCCCACAUGCCCCUGCUCCAGUUUCCUCCAUAGAAACCCAAUGAUUAAUUCAUUCAACACAAUAAAGGCACAUUUAAGACAAGAUAUAACAAAAUGUUAUCUUGAAACCCCACAUUUAAAAUUCCGAAGAGAAAUUACUUGUAUGCCAAAUAAAAACUACCAUAUAAAUAGAUUUUUAGGGAUGUUUCUUGGAUGGAAUCUAGAAGAAUAAGAAGGAAACAUCUGGGGGGAUGAAUUAGGACAACAGAGCAAAUCUGAAGUGUUGUAUCAAUGAUUCAAAUCUGUAAACUCAGCUUCUACCUCAUGGCAGAAAGCCAGAAUACAAGUCAGAGGCAGGAAGCUGCCUUAGGUUUUAACUGUAAGAAGCAACACUUCCCUCUUUUCAUUGGCAUUUAGAGUUAACAGAUCAUGUAGAGAGAGAAACUAGUGCACCACUUGAUAUCUUCCACACACAAGGCAAGGUUUAAGCAACUCCCUGAUUUUUCAGGGAUUUUAAUUGAGACGCCAGGGGGUGUAGACCACCCCUUCCCCACCAGCUCCCAAAGGCCAGUUGCUUAGGCUGGAGUGAGAGAUGCAGGCCUGGGUAAGGAAAAUUUUCUUUUCUUCCUCCCCAGGCCCUAGUUAGACAGAAUUAAGAAUUUUAAAAGAAAACUAAAAGGAGAAAAAUAUGAAAAAAAAACCUGAUGUAUGAUUUUUAUUAUCUUGGCAUUGCAGUUAACCGUGCAAUUUUCAAGAGUUGGGCAUAAUCCUAAGUGUAUUUGCACUUAUAGCUUUUCUUUAGGGAAAUCAAAUUAAAGUCCAGACUACUUAUGGGGCAAAUCAUUAACAAUAUCCAUUUCUUUGUAUCUAGCUACAAGGCACAAAAUAUUUAUUUUGGGCAAAAAUCACAAAAUUAAAAAUAAACAGUAAUAUUUUGUGUAUAUGUUCAUUUUCUUUCUAGAACCACUAAAAAUAUUUGAGCUCUUCUCUUAACUCACCAUAGCCUAGCCCCUGAUUAAAUGGCAAAUCUCCUCACUAUUGAAAGAGAUUAUAUGUAAUAAAGUAUCAUCCAAGUUCUGUUAGUGCAUUGGUACUUUCAGGUAUAACAUUUUUAAAUCUUCUUGCUUGUAUUUUGAGUGUCUUGAUUGUUUCCAUAUUUAGUAAUUAUUUUAUCCAGUAAUAUUCCAUUAUACUGCAUUAUGAUCCUGAUUGUUUUUUUAAGCUGAGAGAAGGUAGAAUCUUCUAGAAAGCAAUAUAGGAGAUUGCAAUACUGAAAAUGCAUCACUGUAGAAAAAAACAAUAAAAGAAAAUUUUAUCAUAUUAUACAAGCUGGGGUAAUGAUGAAAAGUAUGAUAGUAAACAGGAGAUGAAAAGGGGAAGUUAUUUUCUUAGGUAAGAUUUCUGGUUAUGUUAAGGGAUUGAAUAUGACCAAGGUGGCCUUAAUCAUCUCCUCAGGCUGAAUAAACUGGUCAAUCCUUUUCCUGCUUCUUUGAGAUGUGAAUCUUGCUAGAAACCUCUUGCCAGUUUUACAGCCCAGGGGUGUUUUUCCAAAGGAUCUUUGUCAAGGGAAGUACAGCCCCCACCUCCCAGUCUCUGUGGAGUGGUAGGCACUAAACUCUAGCAGACAUUAGGUUCCCUCUCUAUUCUCUUAGCAUUUACACACAAUAAAAGUCACCUUCACCUUUGUUAGAGGAAAGCAGUGAGGGCAAGUAUGGAAAUGAUAGGACCCCUAAAACUGGGUAGGUUUGGAAUAGUAGAGUAAAGAUUUAAAAAAUAAUUUUUAUAUUCAAAGCACAGAUACACAAGGGUUCUCUUUUUUAGAAUAUGUCUAUAUAUACUUUAUGCAUAAAAAGUAAGAUUGUCUUCCUGCUAAAUCUUACACACUAUUGGUGGGAAUCUAAAUUGGUUCAACUGCUAUGGAAAACAGUGUUGGAGGUCCUCAAACAAUCAAAAAUGGAACUACCAUGUGAUACACUAAUCCCAAUUUUUGAUGUGUAUCCAAAGGGCAUGAAAUAAGAUAUCAAAGAGGUAUUCCUGUCCCAAUAUUCAUGGCUGAAUUAAUCCCAAUGGCCAGGACAUGGAGAGAGGCCACGUGGCCCUCAAUGGAUGAAUGGAUAAGGAUGUGGUAUCCAUUAUUAUUCAGCCAGAAGGCAGAAGGAAAUCCUGCCAUUUGUGAAAGUACAGACUGACCUUGAGAGCAUUAUGCUAAGAGAGCUAAAUCAAUAAAGGAACACUAAUACUGUAAAAUGCCUCUUACACCUGAAAUGCAGAAGAUCGAAACUCAUAGUGACUGAGGGCAGCAGUGGGGGAAGGGGAUGGGAGUUGUUAGUGAAGAGCUUGGACUUGCAGUUAUGAGAUGAGUGAACAGGUUCUCGGGCAUCUGAUGUAAAGCCUGCCAACAAAUAUUAAUAACUCCAAAGCUAUUGUUGGUAAUCAAGUCACAAUAUGUAAGUGUAUCAAAUCAAUACAUUGUACAGCUUCUUUCUUCCUUUUUUUGGCUGCACCCAUGGCAUAUGGAAGUUCUCAGGCCAGGGAUUGAAUCCAAGCUGCAGCUGCAACCUACACCACAGCUGUGGCAACACUGGAUCCUUACCCCACUGCACCAUAGUGGGAACUCCAAUACAUUGCACAUUCUAAACUUGCACAGGACUAUGUUUUAAUUAUAUCUUAACUAAGCUGGAAAAAAAGUUUUGAAAAGCACAGAUAAACAAACAUAUAGUACCCGAACAGUAAAGUUGUAUACAUGUGGUAUUAAAAUUUUAUGGGGGGAGGCAGUGGUUAGGGAAAAAUGUCUGAAAAGGUUUAUUAAGGGAGUGAAAAUGGAUAUUUUUUUUUAAAUGAGAAAUAUUAAGUUGGGUCCUCCUGGAAGAUCCAGCAAAUGUAAAAUGGCAGACAUUUAUGUAGAUGCAUCUGGUCUGCUAGAAACUAUCUCUAACCUAUUAUUCUCCAGAAAGACUACUGUGAAGAGUCUGAUGCUCUGAGCCACUAUGAGCCCAUUGCUGAGCAGUUAAAAUUAAAUCAUGUCCUCUCUGUAAAAGAGGAAAGAAAUGUUGAAAACUGUAAUUCUUUUCAAAGUUUACUAGUGAGAUGUUAAGUGUGAAUUAGAGAUGUUGGUGUUAAAUUCUAGAAUCUCAUCAUUUCUUACAGUUUCGGAAAGAAUCCUAUAUGUGUAAGUAUUUAAAAAUUGUUUUUGUAACAAUGAUGAGCCGCGGUGCCAAUGGAUUAGCAUAGGGAGAAAUAUUCCAUUUUGUAAAAUCAAAUUGUGACACAAUUCCCUCUCAUUUUAAAACUUAAUUUAAAAGCCCAUAAAUAUUUUGAAAAUAUGUUUCAAUUGAAAACAUAUUUGAUGGCUUUCUUUCAAAUGAAAAAACUGCAGUACUCAGUAAAGACACUUGGUUACAACACCAUGUAACAAAAGUGAUUUUUCCUUUAAAAUUCUUACCAGCUGUUAUGUAACUUAGUUUUUUUUUUUCCAUUUUAGAGUACCUUACUUUAUUAUUAUGAUUUUUAAUUUUUACUCAAUGAAUUUUAUUACAUUUAUAGUUGUACAGUGAUCAUCACAACCAAAUUUUAUAGCAUUUCCAAAACUUGGUUUUGUUUUUAUGUUGCUCUUUUUUCUGUGGGAGGGUGGAGAGGAUAGCAUGAUAGUGAUCAGAGAAAAGGUUUAUUGAGCACCUGCUCUAUACUACUCUCUAUAUAGUUCUAGAGUCUACUUGCCAUAGUAAAUUCAAAAUCUUGUUCUAUUUUACAAGUUAAAAAACAAACCAGGGAGUUCCUGUUGUGGAUCAGUGGGUUAAGAACACAGCAUUGUCUCCGUGAGGAUUCAGGUUCAAUCCCUGGCCUUUCUCAGUGGGUUUGUGAUCUGGCAUUGCUGCAAACUGUGGUGUAGGUCACAGAUGUGGCUUCAAUUCAACUCCUAGCCUGGGAAAUUCCAU
rnacentral:lncRNA from 1 species